rnacentral:rRNA from 1 species
CAAACGACUCUCGGCAACGGAUAUCUCGGCUCACGCAUCGAUGAAGAACGUAGCAAAAUGCGAUACUUGGUGUGAAUUGCAGAAUCCCGUGAACCAUCGAGUUUUUGAACGCAAGUUGCGCCCAAAGCCAUUUGGUUGAGGGCACGUCUGCCUGGGCGUCACUC